AAAGUCGUAACAAGGUUUCCGUAGGUGAACCUGCGGAAGGAUCAUUACCUAGAGUUGCGGGCUCUGCCUGCCAUCUCUUACCCAUGUCUUUUGAGUACCUUACGUUUCCUCGGCGGGUUCGCCCGCCGACUGGACAAAAUUAAACCACUUGCAGUUGAAAUCAGCGUCUGAAAAAACUUAAUAGUUACAACUUUCAACAACGGAUCUCUUGGUUCUG
rnacentral:misc_RNA from 1 species